rnacentral:lncRNA from 1 species
UUCAAUUUCCCAUUAGUUAGCACACUUUUACUUCUUUUUCUUCUUUUUCUUAAAAAUAUAUUUUCUUAGUUUCUUUUAGAUUGAUCACUGUCUUGUGCUUCAAUUUGGGGGUUUUGGUUCUCUUUCUUGUUUUUUUGGUUUUCUUUGUCUUAGUUCAUAUCGGUUAGGCGUGUUGAAAAUCAAGAUCCAGCUGUAUUAGCUGGCCAACAGUAGAAAAUUGACCAUAUUAAAUGGUACAACUUGAACCAUACAUAAGAUAUAGGAGUCUUGAAUAGAAUUAGAUAGUACUAUUGAUUAGCUGGCGAAAAACAAUAUUAAUAUAUUAAUGAGCAACUGCUGACAAUGGUCACCAAACAGAAUUCCUGUAUGCUGUCUUUUCACCUGUUCUUUUUUUCAAACUUAAGAAAAUAUGUAAUACUACCAUUAAUCAUAAAAAGGUGCUCCCUCCUAUCCGCUUUAAUUGAUUUUUUCAGUUAUUUUCACAUAUUACAAAAUUCAUAAUAUUCAUUAACAAUAAAAUUAAUCAUAUUAACUUUAUUUUGUGCAUUGAAAAUAUAACAAAUUCUUAUCAAUUCUUUGUUCCAAGGACAACUUUGUAAAAAGAAAAGCUAAUUCCUUCUUAAUAUUUUAAUUUUAAAUCAAACAUUGUGUAUCACAAAAAAAAGCAAAAAAUAUUAAAAUGGACCAGAGGGAGUAUUUGACUAAAACUUUCUUAUCUCUUACUUAAAUGAGUAAUUAAUGAUGGAGUGCCUUUUCGCAAGAGUAAAUUCUUUUUAAAAAAAUUGGCUAAUAAAUUGAUUUUCUUAUGCGAUAAAUAUUUUGGACCAAAUUUUUGUCUAUACAAUUUAUCUUCGCCUCUGUAGGGAAAAGAUGUGUAGUUUUUUAGGGGAUUUAAUAUCUAGUUGGAUUAAGAACAGUCACAGAUAAUGAUUUAUAGAUAACAUGGUUCUUAUGUGUUUCGUUUUUUGUUUGCAUUCCGUUAGUGUUAGUUAUGUUAGUAUUUUUCGCUUCGGUAUCAAAUUUGGUUUGUUGGUUAUUACCUUUUCAUUAACUUUCCUGAGCCGAUGAGUCGAAGGUCUAUCGGAAGUAAUGAUUGCGUACGCUCUAUCUUUCCCAGACCCCACUUGUAGAACUACUCCGGAUAUUAUAACAUGGUGCUUAUUUAUGCACAUGAUAUAGGCUUCACCAUAAAUGGACUCCUUUGCAAGAAGAACUUUUCAGAAAUAGACUUUUCAUCAAUGGCCAUAGCCAAGGCAGGAGCAACAAACAACACAUACGGUUCCGUAGUCACAGGUGCCAAUGUAAUGAAAGUACCUGGUCUUAACACACUUGGUGUCUCACUUUCUCGUAUUGAUUAUGCUCCUGGUGGCAUUAAUCCACCUCAUACUCAUCCUCGUGCUACAGAUAUGAAAGUACCUGGUCUUAACACGCUUGGUGUCUCACUUUCUCGUAUUGACUAUGCUCCUGGUGGCAUUAAUCCUCCUCAUACUCAUCCUCGUGCUACAGAAAUGAUCUUUGUUACAGAGGGUGAAUUAGAUGUUGGUUUUAUUACAACAUCUAAUGUUUUGAUUUCGAAACAUAUUGUAAAAGGUGAAGUAUUUGUUUUCCCUAAAGGACUUGUCCAUUUCCAGCAAAACAAUGGGAAAGUUCCGGCAGCGGUUGUCGCCGCCUUCAACAGCCAGUUGCCGGGGACUCAGUCCAUUGCUACAACGUUGUUUGCAUCCACACCAACUGUUCCUGAUCAUGUCUUGACUAAAGCAUUCCAAAUUGGUACUAAGCAAGUGGAGAAAAUUAAGUCAAGGCUUGCACCUAAGAAAUAGACUUUAAUUUUCCAAAUUGUGACUUUUAUUUUCUUUUGUGAGGUUGUUAAUUGAUAAUGAUUUGUGGGUAGGAUCGAUACUUUCAUUUGUUUGUUAUCUCCAAUAAUGUUGUAUUUACCUUAUGACAACUUUGUUUCUCUGUUCGUCAAAAAUAAUGUUAAUUCUGUAUGUGCUUUUCUCCUACGCUCAUUUAACAAAUUUGUAUACAAGGAAAUGAUCAUACAAUAGACUUUUUGUGUUUUAUUUA